rnacentral:misc_RNA from 1 species
GAUGAAGAACGUAGCGAAAUGCGAUACUUGGUGUGAAUUGCAGAAUCCCGUGAACCAUCGAGUCUUUGAACGCAAGUUGCGCCUCAAGCCAUUAGGUUGAGGGCACGUCUGCCUGGGCGUCACAUAUCGUUGCCUGAUGCCAGUUUCCUCGUGAUGGGUGACUGUGCAGGGCGAAUGAUGGCUUCCCGUGAGCAUUGUUGCCUCAUGGUUGGCUGAAAAUUGAGUCCUUGGUAGGGAGCGCCGUGAUAGAUGGUGGUUGAGUGACGAACGAGACCCAAUCAUGUGAGACCCCUACCGAAUUUGGCCUUCAUGACCCACAUGCGUCUUUGGAACGCUCAUGACGAGACCUCAGGUCAGGCGGGGCUACCCGCUGAGUUUAAGCAUAUCAAUAAGCGGAGGA